rnacentral:rRNA from 1 species
AUGGAAGCUAUUGCGGACUACAACUGCGGUAUAUCUUAUAUCCCUGGUAAGGCUAAUGUAAUGGCUGAUGCCCUGAGCCGCAAGUCUUAUUGCAAUAAUCACAUGGUCUACAAAGCUCAACCCCGCCUUUAUGAAGAGCUAUGCAAGCUAAACCUUCAAGUAGUUCCACAGGGUUCUCUGAAUAACCUUGUACUGGAACCAACUCUUCUAAAAUCAAUUAAGUCUGCUCAAGCCAAAGAUGCUCACGUUGAUUUGAUGAAAAAGGAUCUUGCCUUAGAGAAAUCCAGAGAUUUCUCACUUGGUGAAGAUGGAACCUUAUACUUCAGAGAUCACAUUGUAGUACCCCGGUUCGAGCUUAUGACAAAGAAGGUGAUGAAAGAAGAGCCUGACACCCCUCUCUCUAUUCAUCUGGGAAGUACCAAGAUGUAUCUAGACAUCCGUCAGAAGUACUGGUGGUCUAAAAUGAAGCAAGACAUUGCUCGAUAUAUCGAAGAAUGUGAUGUUUGCCGUCGCAUCAAAGCAGAACAUCAGAAACCGGCUGGACUUCUACAACCACUUCUGAUUCCGGAAUGGAAGUGGGAUAAGAUUCAAAUGGACUUCGUCACUGGACUUCCCAAGUCUCAUAAAGGUAACGAUGCUAUCUUUGUUGUCAUUGACCAAUUCUCGAAAGUUGCUCACUUUCUACCAGUCAAGGAGACAAUCACUGCUAGUCAAUUAGCAAACUUGUAUAUCUCCAGAAUUGUGUCACUCCAUGGAAUUCCGAAGGAGAUCAGUUCAGACCGUGGCAGUUUAUUCACUUCAAAGUUCUGGGAUAGUUUCCAAGAGGCAAUGGGAACUCAUAUUACCUGGAGCACUGCUUAUCAUCCCCAAUCCCAAGGCCAAGUCGAGCGAGUCAAUCAAAUUCUUGAAGACAUGCUUCGAGCUUGUGUUAUUUCUUUUGGCAAGAAGUGGGAAGAAUCUCUCCCUUAUGCGGAAUUCUCUUAUAACAACAGCUAUCAAGCCAGCUUGAAGAUGGCACCCUUCGAAGUGCUCUAUGGACGUAAGUGCCGAACCCCUCUGAAUUGGUCAGAAACUGGGGAACGGGCACUCAUUGGUCCAGACAUUAUUCAACAAGCUGAAGAGCAAGUUCGCAUUGUCCGGGAUAAUCUCAAGGCGGCCCAGUCCCGCCAGAAGAGCAACUAUGACCGGAAACACUAG